UUUAGGAACAGCCUUUGAGGAAGCUGUUGUCGGUAGGGACGUCUGAGUGCUGAUGAAUGCCAACGGCUCUGAUGGAAAAAA